GCCUGGCUAGCUCAAUCGGUAGAGCGUCAGACUCUUACAGAAAGAACGUGAUGUGUUGUGCAAACUCACUGACCGGUGUCAUCUGAAGGUUGUGGGUUCGACCCCCACGUUAGGCU